rnacentral:rRNA from 1 species
GAUGAACGCUAGCGGCAGGCUUAACACAUGCAAGUCGAGGGGUAACAGGGAGAAGCUUGCUUUUCCGCUGACGACCGGCGCACGGGUGAGUAACGCGUAUAGAACCUACCUUUUACAGGGGAAUAGCCCAGAGAAAUUUGGAUUAAUGCCCUAUAGUAUUAUUGAAUGGCAUCAUUUAGUAAUUAAACAUUUAUGGGUAAAAGAUGGCUAUGCGUUCUAUUAGCUAGAUGGUAAGGUAACGGCUUACCAUGGCAACGAUAGAUAGGGGUCCUGAGAGGGAGAUCCCCCACACUGGUACUGAGACACGGACCAGACUCCUACGGGAGGCAGCAGUGAGGAAUAUUGGACAAUGGAGGCAACUCUGAUCCAGCCAUGCCGCGUGCAGGAAGACGGCCCUAUGGGUUGUAAACUGCUUUUAUACGGGAAGAAACCCAACUACGUGUAGUUGGCUGACGGUACCGUAAGAAUAAGCACCGGCUAACUCCGUGCCAGCAGCCGCGGUAAUACGGAGGGUGCAAGCGUUAUCCGGAAUCAUUGGGUUUAAAGGGUCCGUAGGCGGGCUAAUAAGUCAGGGGUGAAAUCCAACAGCUUAACUGUUGAACUGCCUUUGAUACUGUUAGUCUUGAAUUAUAUGGAAGUAGAUAGAAUGUGUAGUGUAGCGGUGAAAUGCUUAGAGAUUACACAGAAUACCGAUUGCGAAGGCAGUCUACUACGUAUAUAUGA